rnacentral:tRNA from 2 species
GACGAGGUGGCCGAGUGGUUAAGGCGAUGGACUGCUAAUCCAUUGUGCUAAGAGCGCGUGGGUUCGAAUCCCAUCCUCGUCG